UGGUUUGUAACUGAACACAGGAGGCAUCAACGAGCGUUUGAAGAUGGGGAAGACUCUCUGGAUGUGGCUGCUCACCCUGGCUGUUGUGACGCUCUUCUCUGCAUCAGAAGCUUCCAUAAAGCUUAUCUGCUGUCAGAAGAGCAAUUCUAAGAAGGUUCAUAACAUAAAGAAGUGUUUGGAACAGGUGAAACGAGUGGGUUGCGAAUACCAUGCCUUUUUGAUUAUAACCAAGAAAGGUGUUAAACGUUGUGUCAAGCC